GUGAAGCAUUAUGAUGUCAUCAGAGAUGACAGGGGGCAGUGUGAAACAUGAAGUCACAGACGCUAUGGGGAGGGUGAUUUACAAAGUCAGAGAACACAGCUCAAGUGUGAAACCUGAAGUCAGAGACACCUGGCUACACAUCUACACCUUGAAGUCUGGAAGAUUGAUGCCCAUGUCCUCAGUUUUCUUAUUUCUGAACAUAAUAUGGGACAUCAAAUGUAACUUCAGACAGACGUUGUGAAGAAUAAAUGAAACGUGCAGAAAUAACUUCA
rnacentral:lncRNA from 1 species